CCUGGCCUAACCCUUGCCGCUUCCCUGGUUUGUUCUCGCUCGACUGCGUCGCAGCACUAACGCGGGGCUCUAGCCUCGCCAGCGUGCGUCGGGUGUGGCCGGACGGGAGGCUGUUAAACAUGGUGAUACUGGUGGUCGGACAAUAGAGUGGAGAGUUUUCUUUUUGUCAUGCUUUCACCUAAAGGCAGUGGAUGCACGGGUUGUGGGGGCGAGGCAGGCGGUGGAGACAGAUGUUGUGGCGGCGUUCCUCGCCCGAUUUAGAUGGCGGGUUUGUGAUUGGAUCCGAUUUGGAUGGUGGGUCUGUGAUUGGAUCCGAUCGGAUCCCAUUACAAAUCCAUUGAAGGCUGGUUAUGGCGUGAAGUUGGACCUUGCUAUAGGGUGUUCGACGAUGGUGUUGGCGUUGAUUUUCAUUCUGGAGGGCGACGGAGGUUCUGGGGAGGACGACGGAGGGACAAGCUCUCAUCUUGUUUCGAGGUUUAGGCUCCCCAGUCUUGGGAUUGUGGUGGUGGGGAUACGCACACCCCAAUCAUAGAGAGGUUGGUAAUGUCUAACCAACUUAGAGC
rnacentral:lncRNA from 1 species